rnacentral:rRNA from 1 species
UACGUAGGGGGCGAGCGUUGUCCGGAUUUAUUGGGCGUAAAGAGCGUGUAGGCGGUUCGGUAAGUCUGUCGUGAAAAUCCUGAGGCUCAACCUCGGGCGUGCGAUGGAUACUGCCGGGCUAGAGGGUGGUAGAGGCGAGUGGAAUUCCCGGUGUAGCGGUGAAAUGCGCAGAUAUCAGGAGGAACACCAAUUGCGAAGGCAGCUCGCUGGAACGUUACUGACGCUGAGACGCGAAAGCGUGGGGAGCAAACAGG